rnacentral:rRNA from 1 species
GACGAACGCUGGCGGCGUGCUUAACACAUGCAAGUCGAACGGAAAGGCCCUGCUUUUGUGGGGUGCUCGAGUGGCGAACGGGUGAGUAACACGUGAGUAACCUGCCCUUGACUUUGGGAUAACUUCAGGAAACUGGGGCUAAUACCGGAUAGGAGCUCCUGCUGCAUGGUGGGGGUUGGAAAGUUUCGGCGGUUGGGGAUGGACUCGCGGCUUAUCAGCUUGUUGGUGGGGUAGUGGCUUACCAAGGCUUUGACGGGUAGCCGGCCUGAGAGGGUGACCGGCCACAUUGGGACUGAGAUACGGCCCAGACUGCUACGGGAGGCAGCAGUGGGGAAUCUUGCACAAUGAGCGGAAGCCUGAUGCAGAAACGCCGCGGGCGGGAAGACGGCCUUCGGGUUGUAAACCGCUUUCGCCUGUGACGAAGCGUGAGUGACGGUAAUGGGUAAAGAAGCACCGGCUAACUACGUG